AUUUUUAAACCCAGUUGUCAUAUUUUAUUAAAUCUUUUAAUAAAUUACAUAAAAUUCGCAUAGACCAAGUGCAUUAUUAGUUAUUUGUACACUCAACCUAAUCAGAUUGUCAUAUGCUAAUUAGCAAAAGGAAAAUGGCUUCAUACACAAAAACCACAAACUAAUAGACUUAAAGCGUAGAAUAAGCGUCAAGCAAAAGCAAUGAGACAGUAAGAAGGAACUGAAUGACCUAUCUAAAUUUACACCAUACUCGUAUUGGUGUCAUUAGUAACAGCGCCUGGGUGUUGUUUUUUGCGGCCAUUUGUGGUUUAAUGACUCUUUGGCCAUAAUAAACCUGCUGCGCUCAACAGUAAAUACUUACAACACACAACAUCGACAGCGCUUGCUACCGUUACCGCCGACACUGCAUACUGCGGCAACGCUAGCUACCAUUACUAUGAGCGAAUAUUAAUUGGAUAUUGGCAAGCACGUGAAGCUACAUGGAUUACACGAACGUCUUUAGCUUGAUAAUCCACAAAGCCGCUAAGGAACAGACGACCUAAAUACUCAAGUGUUUGCUAGUUGGGCAAAGAAACUUCUUAAUUAAAAUUCGAUAGGCAUGCGCAUUAAGCAAAUUAGUUAUAUUUUGUACUUAAGUGUACUUGAAUGGCGACUAAAAAAAAUUUGAAGAUAUUUAAGUAUUUGUUGUGUUGUCUUUUUUUAAUUUUUGCUUCAGCGUUUUUAUUUUCUUAGCUAAAGUACGCAAUUACUGCAAAAUAUUUCGUGCGGCCAUGCUUACUUGUGUUGCCGUUGCUACUUGCCCGCGGCUUGUUAUCUAAAUUGUUGUCAUUGACCACUCGAAUCGCUUCCAGCUCAUCUACACGACAAUUCCUCAUUGCUCCACACCUCAAACCGGUUAUAGUUAUGUAUAUGAAAAGAACUUUGAACAUCACCGCGCAAUGAAGCACAUCUCCGUCAACAAAUAUUAUGGUGGCUGUGAUGAUUAAGCUACAAUUAGUUGGAAACAAGUCGUUGUUGUAAGCGCACAGAUAUGCAGUGAGGGUCUACCAAAGCUGCUAGUAAUUGAGCGACGAGAGGGAAGCAAGUGAUUGCAGUCGAGUGACCGCAUUCAAUACACCGAGUGUGUCAUCUACUAUAGAAACACAGUGACUAUAUGUAUAUAUGUAUACUUAUAUGUACAUCUAUAUUGAAUGUUUACAUAAUUGUCAACAUUGUCUUCACCUCCAAUCGCCUUGUUUCACUAAUUCUAUGCAUUUUCAUUCCGUUCUCGUUCACUUGCUCAUACACAUUGGCCGAUCCGAUCACGUUAACAGCAAAGGCGUAAGAUAUUUAUUGUUUGAAAGUUGAAUAUUGAUGCUACUUUUGCUAUUAUUGUUGUCAUUUAUCUCCUUUUUGCGCUGUUGCC